rnacentral:rRNA from 1 species
AUUGAACGCUGGCGGCAUGCCUUACACAUGCAAGUCGAACGGUAACAGGUCUUCGGAUGCUGACGAGUGGCGAACGGGUGAGUAAUACAUCGGAACGUGCCCGAUCGUGGGGGAUAACGAAGCGAAAGCUUUGCUAAUACCGCAUAAGAUCUACGGAUGAAAGCAGGGGACCGCAAGGCCUUGCGCGAACGGAGCGGCCGAUGGCAGAUUAGGUAGUUGGUGGGAUAAAAGCUUACCAAGCCGACGAUCUGUAGCUGGUCUGAGAGGACGACCAGCCACACUGGGACUGAGACACGGCCCAGACUCCUACGGGAGGCAGCAGUGGGGAAUUUUGGACAAUGGGCGAAAGCCUGAUCCAGCCAUGCCGCGUGCAGGAUGAAGGCCUUCGGGUUGUAAACUACUUUUGUACGGAACGAAAAGACUCUGGUUAAUACCUGGGGUCCAUGACGGUACCGUAAGAAUAAGCACCGGCUAACUACGUG